UACGUUAAUAGCGUAUUCGUUUGACGUUAGCGACAGAAGAAAGCACCGGCUAACUCCGUGCCAGCAGCCGCGGUAAUACGGAGGUGCGAGCGUUAAUCGGAAUUACUGGGCGUAAAGCGCAUGCAGGUGGUUUGUUUAAGUCAGAUGUGAAAGACCCGGGGCGUCAACCUCGGAAUAGCAUUUGAAACUAGGCAGACUAGAGUACUGUAGAGGGGGGUAGGAAUUUCAGGUGUAGCGGUGAAAUAGCGUAGAGAUCUGAAGGAAUACCGGUGGCGAAGGCGGCCCCCUCGGACAGAUACUGACACUCAGAUGCGAAAGCGUGGGGAGCAAACAGGAUUAGAUACCCUGGUAG
rnacentral:rRNA from 1 species